rnacentral:rRNA from 1 species
UACGGGAGGGGCAAGCGGUAUUCGGCUUGACUGGGCGUAAAGGGUUCGUAGACUGUAAAAUAAGUUACUUGUUAAACUUUAAAGCUUAACUUUAAAUCAGCUUGUAAUACUGUUUUACUUGAGUUUUAUACAGAAGAGUAGAAUUUUAUACGUAAGGGUAAAAUCUAAAGAUAUAUAAAGGAAUGCCGGUAGCGAAGGCGACUCUUUGGUAAAAACUGACGUUGAGGAACGAAAGUAUGGGGAGCAAACAGG